CGAACGGGUGAGUAACGCGUGAGGAACCUGCCUCAAAGAGGGGGACAACAGUUGGAAACGACUGCUAAUACCGCAUAAGCCCACGGCUCGGCAUCGAGCAGAGGGAAAAGGAGUGAUCCGCUUUGAGAUGGCCUCGCGUCCGAUUAGCUGGUUGGUGAGGUAACGGCCCACCAAGGCGACGAUCGGUAGCCGGACUGAGAGGUUGAACGGCCACAUUGGGACUGAGACACGGCCCAG
rnacentral:rRNA from 1 species